GAUGAACGCUGGCGGCGUGCCUAAUACAUGCAAGUCGAACGAACAGAUGAGGAUUUUGCUCCUCUUACGUGAUCGGCGGACGGGUGAGUAACGCGUGGAUAACCUAUCUAUAAGACUGGGAUAACUUCUAGAAACCGGAGCUAAUGUCUAAUAAUAUAUUGAACCGCAUGGUUCUAUAUGUAAAGACGGAUUUUCUUUUACUGAUUGAUGAUUCCGCGCCGCAUUAGCUAGUUGGUAGGGUAACGGCUUACCAAGGCAACGAUGCGUAGCCGACCUGAGAGGGUGAUCGGCCACACUGGAACUGAGACACGGUCCAGACUCCUACGGGAGGCAGCAGUAGGGAAUCUUCCGCAAUGGGCGAAAGCCUGACGGAGCAACGCCGCGUGAGUGAUGAAGGUCUUCGGAUCGUAAAACUCUGUUAUUAGGGAAGAACAAAUGUGUAAGUAACUAUGCAGGUCUUGACGGUACCUAAACAGAAAGCCACGGCUAACUACGUG
rnacentral:rRNA from 1 species